CAGUCUGCAGGUAUGGCAAAGUGUCACAGUCCAGCCUGGUAAAUGUGCCUGCCCUGCCCAUCACCAGGGGAAAGUGAGCAGAAUCCCUGACCUGUCCGUGGUGCGGGCAGCUCCGGCCUACUGUAGCAUUCACUGUCCAGCUCUGGGAAAAGGGGACUCACAUGACUGACCAGCAUACAUCACAUGGGGCCCAGGACACCUCCCCAUUAGGUGUCACCUUCCCCCCACCACCAAGGAAACCCACAGCAUCCCAGCUCUGCCUCUGUCCAUGAAAAGACCAGAACAGAGCCCCCAGCCCAAACAAGCAAGAGUGUGAGGACCACUGUCAGGCUGGACCUCACCUGCUUGCUCAAUGGCUUCUAUCAGCUUCACCAGAAUCGGGGGCGCAGGCUCAGGUGGGGAGAACUGCUCUGCCAGGCUUGCCAGUGUGUGACCUGGAAGGGAGGGACAGGGUGUGAACUCUCAUGCUCCAUGCCUGCAAGUCUCUGGCUGGAGAACCCCGGGCCACAGGGAGGGCUGUCAGUGGCAAGUUAUUUCUGGUUUAUCACAAGGAAGCUGCAAGCCCAGGGACCGCGCGGGGGACACGAAGGACGGUAAAAGCGGAGUCAAGGUGCAGGAGUGGACAUCCAUCACUCUGCACUCUGGGGUUGAAGGCAGGAGGAUGGCCGGUUCCAGGCUUGCCUGGGUUACACAGAACCUGUCUCCAAAAUCAAGAGGUGGCAGUGCAGACAGUUUCUGUAUUAGGCUGGAAGCAGCAGAGAAGCAAACACCGUCCUCUUCACGUCAAAUGUCAGGCCUCUACAAAUAUACACAGUUGCACCUAUGUGGCUUUGCAAAGAUUUUGUGUGGCAGCAAGGGAAGUUCAUACAGGUGUUGGCUCUACUAUGAUCAGCUGUGCAGCCCUGACCUCUGGGAUCACCCUCUCUGGCUUCAAAGAAAAUCACCAGAUUGUAGUUACCUUUUUGUUUUAGAUUUUAUUUUGAGACAGGGUCUCAGUAUAUCGAUCAGGCUGGCCUGGAACUCACAAAUAUCCUCCUGCCUCUGCCUCCUAGAGUGCUGGGCUGAAAGGCCUGGGCCACCAAGUCUGAUGCUCUUUUUGUUUGGCUUUGAAACAGAGUCCUACUAUGUAGUCCUGUAAACCCACAUCAGUUCUCUGGCUGGGACUGCAGGCAUCCCCACACCUGGCUUCCCUCCCCCACCCCGGCCUCCAGGCCCAACCCCAUCCCAGCAGUGCCUGGUUCUCAUGCAGGGCCUUUUAUGCACAGGUGUCUGCCUGGCCCUGGCGAGGCUCUGCCUGCCCCUACCAUCUGGGUUGGCUCCGGCCCUCGGCAGGGAUGUCCUGGCAUGCGGCAGAGGCAAGCCAGGGCCUGCAGGGCCUCUCUGAGUGGAGCUGGCCUAGCUGUAUGGAAAAGAAAAAAAAGAAAGAAAGGAAGAAAAAGAAACAACUCCCCCAAACCUGAAGGAGGGGAGAGGAGGUGAGCAGCACCCUGCCAGCAGGGGAGAGAGGACACAACAGCCAGGGACCCCAAUGCCAAACGGAGGCCCCACAGGUUUGUGGGGUCCUUGCCUUCCACUCUGCUGCAUACCAUGGCCAGACAUCCACCUUUUCUGGGACUAUAGCUCAGUAGGGACAGGGUUAGAGGCUCGCACAGAGAAUCUGUCUGCAGCUUGCAGGAGGCCUCCGCAGCCUAUGGACUACUUCCCAAGCUGGGUUUUCACUCCCUGCUGGCUGCUUCCUGAACCUGACUCUGGGCCUUUGCAGGAGCUGUGCUCUGUGCCUGGAGGGCUCCACCCUCAGCUCCUCACCACUCUUGUAACCAGAGUGACAGUCUCACUUCCUGAACAAGAAAUCUAACCAGGACCUGGCUCCAGGGGUGAACUCACUAACUACAGCAGCGUCCCAAUACAACUACUCCAUAUUCACCAGAGAGAAGAGACCACAGAACAGACUGAAGGUCUGAGGGGACAGGUGCCUUUUCCAAAGUGUCUGCUCACCUGACUCAGAAGGUCCAUCCAAGGGCCUGGCAGGCAACGGACGGGGCCCCCGUGGGCGAGGGCCUGGUCGAGCCAGAGCCACAGGUCCUAGGAACUCCACAUAUGUUCCAGGGAAGUCCCCUCGCUGUCGGGUGCGCUCAUUGAAGCCAGGCAUCCAGCCCACGUUGUGUGGGCAGCGCUCUCCUCCAUCAGCCACACCUAGUGCCUGCAGAGCCACCCGGCUCACCACCAGGAGGUCACCAGGAAGAAGCUCCAGGUCCUCAGGCCGCUCCCGGCGGAAUGGGUAUACAGCCCUGUACUGGAAGCCUUCAGCACCUGCCAUGGCUGGGCCCGGGGGGUGGGGGGGUCUGGACAGUCAGGUGGCUCCCGGGGGCUCCAGGGGCCCCAUGGGCUGGUGUGGCCUGUGUGGUAGGCUUGCAGACCUCUACUUCCAGAAGUCAAAGGCGACCUCAGGGGCCGCACAUGCCUAGCUGGCCAUUACUGAAAGCCACUUGUCACAGAGUC